AACCGGAUUAGAUACCCUGGUAGUCCACCCCGUAAAACGUUGGGAACUAGUUGUGGGGUCCAUUCCACGGAUUCCGUGACGCAGCUAACGCAUUAAGUUUCCCCGCCUGGGGAGUACGGCCGCAAGGCUAAAACUCAAAGGAAUUGACGGGGACCCGCACAAGCGGCGGAGCAUGCGGAUUAAUUCGAUGCAACGCGAAGAACCUUACCAAGACUUGACAUAUACGAGAACGGGCCAGAAAUGGUCAACUCUUUGGACACUCGUAAACAGGUGGUGCAUGGUUGUCGUCAGCUCGUGUCGUGAGAUGUUGGGUUAAGUCCCGCAACGAGCGCAACCCUCGUUCUAUGUUGCCAGCACGUAAUGGUGGGAACUCAUGGGAUACUGCCGGGGUCAACUCGGAGGAAGGUGGGGAUGACGUCAAAUCAUCAUGCCCCUUAUGUCUUGGGCUUCACGCAUGCUACAAUGGCCGGUACAAAGGGCUGCAAUACCGCGAGGUGGAGCGAAUCCCAAAAAGCCGGUCCCAGUUCGGAUUGAGGUCUCAAC
rnacentral:rRNA from 1 species